rnacentral:lncRNA from 1 species
GUAAUAUUCUUCUCAAUUUUUGAGUACUUUACUUUUGUCUAAUACCCGGUAAAUGUAAUUUACUUCCUUUGUUUUCCCCAGCGGGUUCUUUUUCAUGUUUACCCAGGCAGUAUAUCCUUGAUAUGUUCAUCCUAACCGGUGACAGAUAUUCUUCCCUUUGUGGUUUUAUACCCAAUAAAAAGGUAGUUGUAAUCCCUACUUUUAUUCCCCAGAGAGUUAAUCCUUGAUAUGUUUAUCUUAAUCGAUGACAAAUUUUC